rnacentral:misc_RNA from 1 species
GAUGAAGAACGUAGCGAAAUGCGAUACGUAAUGUGAAUUGCAGAAUUCAGUGAAUCAUCGAGUCUUUGAACGCACAUUGCGCCCUCUGGUAUUCCGGAGGGCAUGCCUGUCCGAGCGUCAUUGCUGCCCUCAAGCACGGCUUGUGUGUUGGGCCCCGUCCUCCUUCCGGGGGACGGGUCCGAAAGGCAGCGGCGGCACCGCGUCCGGUCCUCAAGCGUAUGGGGCUUUGUCACUCGCUUUGUAGGCCUGGCCGGCGCUUGCCGAUCAACCAAACUUUUUAUCAGGUUGACCUCGGAUCAGGUAGGGAUAUCCGCUGAACUUAAGCAUAUCAAUAAGCGGAGGA